AGGAUAUAUUGGUGAGUUUGAAUAUAUUGAUGACCACCAUUCUGGGAAAAUUGUGGUGGAGCUCAAGGGUGUUGACAGUCCUUCUCACUGGCGCCAAUUCGAACCCCACCUCCGGCCAUUGUCGGUGUCCACCUCCCAAAGUCAUCAUCGACAUUCACAAUAAGUUCAGUCAGAGAAAAGGAGGCUCUCAUGCAAUGAUCCCAAAGUGAAGAAUAGGAAGAAUGUCAAGAAAAAUGACAUUAUUGAGUUUUCAAUGACCUAAAAAUAAUGUAUAGAUAUUUUUUUAUGAAAUGUGCUUCUUAAUAAGCAAUGAAUAUUGUAUAAUAUAUGUUUGCUUAUUUUUUUAUUAAAGUUAAAUAAUUUAUUUGA